rnacentral:rRNA from 1 species
UGCGUAGGUGGUUUCUUAAGUCAGAGGUGAAAGGCUACGGCUCAACCGUAGUAAGCCUUUGAAACUGGGAAACUUGAGUGCAGGAGAGGAGAGUGGAAUUCCAUGUGUAGCGGUGAAAUGCGUAGAUAUAUGGAGGAACACCGGUGGCGAAAGCGGCUCUCUGGCCUGUAACUGACACUGAGGAGCGAAAGCGUGGGGAGCGAACA